rnacentral:misc_RNA from 1 species
UCCGAGUUGACCCCGGCAGUCUCCCACGAGUCCCCACCAUCACGUGCUGGCAACAUAGGAUAAGGGUUGCGCUCGUUGCGGGACUUAACCCAACAUUUCACAACACGAGCUGACGACAGCCAUGCAGCACCUGUCACUCGGUUCCCGAAGGCACUCCGCCGUCUCCGGCAGAUUCCGAGGAUGUCAAGGGUAGGUAAGGUUCUUCGCGUUGCAUCGAAUUAAACCACAUGCUCCACCGCUUGUGCGGGCCCCCGUCAAUUCCUUUGAGUUUCAGCCUUGCGGCCGUACUCCCCAGGCGGAGGACUUAUCGCGUUAGCUGCGCCACCGACGGGCAAGCCCGCCAACGGCUGGCAUUCAUCGUUUACGGCGUGGACUAC